CUUCACAGCAUGAGUUUCCUACAGGAAGAUUAUUUGUGCUGCACCGCCCUCUACCUACGUUUCUAAAGGUGUUAUGUCGGAGUUGAUGGAUUUCAACACGGACAGCGUAACCUCGAACGACCAGCUGCUUGACCAGGUUAGCUUCUGGAAGAAUCUCGCCGACGCCAUUUUCCUUGCUCGGUUGACUGACGAAGUGGGUGAUUGUAUGACAGCAUCUGUUCAACGUGCCCAUAGUGUGUGUGAAACAUGCAGAGAGGAAGCCUCGCAUCCCGUCUGAAAGAAGGCGACGCCGGCCAGCCUUACCUAUCCGAGCCGUCUCGGUCUUGAAGGUGCUGAAGUCCCAGUUCCGAGGUAGUUUCAGAGACAUUCUCCAACGGCACAGGUAGAAGUUUGUAAGUCAUCCCUUCAUGUCGCCCCCGUUUCCAUGUCAGUGCCCGUCUUCAUGAAGCUGACCAAGUGGUGGGGAGAGAGACAGGGGAGAAGUGGAUUUGCAGUGCAGAGUCUUCAAGUGACUAAUGUUCACCGGCGUCAAAAGAAGAAGAAACCACCACCAGCGUCUUCUUAAAGGAAAUGGUUUUAUGCCUCUUGUUAUGACUGGUUCAGAGAGCAUCUUGCCUCACCGCUCAGGCUGCAGGGGCACAAAUCCAUCUAGCUGCUGUAUCUACAUACCUACUUCUCUAAAAGGUGAAAUCCUAGUCCCCCACCGACAGAAAGAUCUCCAUCGUCAAACAGAAUGAGAACAUUUUAUAGAGGCUGGUGAGAGGAAAUUGACCAAAUAAGUUUCAAAAUGGGGAAGAUGACCACAAAAAAACAAAAAAGAGAAGGAAGAAGUCACAGAGUACGCCUCCUGCUGUCUUUAAAUACAUUUAUUUUUUUUCCCUCUGAACAUAGCCAAAAACACAUUUCAGUGAUAAAGAAUUCCUCUAGAUAGUAUACAAUUUACCAAACCAUUGCACAGAUAAAGAAUAGAUAUACAGAUUUCUUUAUUUUUUUGUAUUUUUAAAAUUUUUCUUACAGAUUCAUAAGGUCAUCUAUGCGCAUAAUAAAGUAAAAUGUUUCACAUAGGAGAGCCUGCACAGCACGAUGGACAGACAUGACUCCCUUACAUUCCUCUGAUACACUCCUGGCCAAACACAGUGCACAAAAAGGUUAGUGGAGCCCUAAAGACAAACAAGAAGAAAACAUUUUUCUAGUAAACUAACUUUUUCAUAAAAGGGCAGCGGAUUGUUCUCAGCAGAAGUGGCAAAUGGCCAAAUAUCUCCAUUUAUGCACAGCCUUAAGGUCACAGUCAACAGGCUGAGCACAGGAGGUUUGGCUCCCUCUGGUGGCAGGUAAGUGGAAGGGCAGUGCUGAGCUGCUGAACCGAAAAUUAGAACUUCGUAAAAAUGUAACUACCACGGCGGCUCCUGUUGCAACACUGUUGAUGGAGGGAAGGAACUACGUAAAUCAUAAGCAACGAGCACCCGAGCUGAGGCACGACACCGAACAGGACAGGAGCCUAGCAACAGCAACCAUGGCAACAGAUAAGAAACUCUUCAGCUACUUGUAUACUUGGUGGCAAUAAUGAAUUUUUAUUUUUGCCUGACUACAAAAACUACAAAAAGAACACCAACAUAUAUUUUAGAAUCACAGCAGAGUUAGAGAGUUAAUAAAUAAAUACCUUCAGAAAGAUGACGUCAAUAAAUAAUAAUCAGAAUCAAUUCAAACACCAGGUAGAAGUGAUGUCUGGGUUGUAUACCCCAAAAAACUAGAAGAUGGUAUAUAAAAUAAACAUAAAUACCAGGAACACGUUUAAAAGAAGCCACUAUUUACCAUCCUUUUCCUUUCCUGCUACUACACCAAAUGUAGUUUAUUAUGCAUUGUUACAAAUAUUGGUUUUAUUCCAUCAUACUAACAGAAGUUAUAGAGAAAGACUAAAGGGUCCUUUGAACCAAAUUGUUAAAACACCAUCAGUGCAAAACUUUUUACUUAGCUUGCUAAUCAGAUUUUAUUUUAACUAUGGUAACACAUAAUCUUACAAAAUGUCAGUUUGAAUAAUUAGAUGUCUUUAGAGAAGGAUGAAAAAACAAAACUACAUUUCUUCUAUUGAGUAAUCUUUUAGUUAAUGUUCUUCAAGAUAUUUUGGCAAAAAAAAAAAAAACUGAAUUAGACCAACAGAAACAGAAAUAUUUUGGUAUAUUCUAGUGGAGCUGCACAAUAUAUCGAAUCACGUUAUUCGUGUGAUUUCAUAAUCACAAGACUGCGUGGAUGUAAUAUUUGGUACGGUAUUGCAUUUCUGUUACCAGGCAUUGAUGCUUCCCCAUGGGAAAAAAAAGAAAACACUUUGCUGCGCUUGAUGCCCACACCUGAUAAAGAUUUUAGUGAAAGAAAUUCAAAUGGAUGGGAGACAUUUCAAUGUUUGAGAGGAAACUGACAGUAAAUGCAAGUUUCUAUGCUACAGUCCUGUACAAUAAUACUUGGAUCGCACGUUUUCGUAAUGUCAUGCUGCCUUAGAUUCCAAUAGAAAAAUGGAAGAAAAAAAAAAAAGAAAAAAACAGGGUGGCUACAAAUUAGCAUUCAGCAGAUAAUGUAGGGAAAUAUUAAAAAAAACGGCAAAUAUCGUCUCAACAUGUCUAAUGUUUUAUACUCAGAGAAGUUUGGCAAAAUUCUGCUGCCAAAUGAUAGAAAAAAGUGAUAUAGAAGUAAUCAGCAUAGGAAUGUCACUACGAGAAUAAUGUCAAAAGCAAGAGAGAGAGAGAGAGAGAAAGAGAGAGAAAAAAAAGAACAUUAAGCAGAUAUUUCAAAAACGGUUGCUGAGUUUCCCACAAGGUGCUUGUAUAAGAUGUAGAAGAGUGAACUACUUAAAACACCUGCAGGUAAACCCAAAGGACGGUCAGCGUUGCGUGUGCUGCUGAAUUAAUUACAACAGGAAAUAUCUCUUAUGUGCGAGUCUACAAAUGUUUCUACCCUCCAAAAAUCAGAUCCUAGUUAAAUGAAUAAAAAUAACCAAGGUGGAACAUAAAUAAAAGAGCUAAAUUAAUACAGAUGUUCUAAUAAAUUCCUGACUGCACAAGAAAACCAAUAAAUCUGUCGGCUGUGGCAAGUAUUGACCCGACCAGCAUUGGACCGGACCUAACUCAGUACAGAUGUGUCAUAGACCUUUCCAAAAUGCUGAGCUCAGGUUAGAACAAAUUACAUCUAGGAAAGCAUAAAUCAAUCAUCUGGAAUAUUAGCAUUAGCUAAAGAAAAAAAACAAAAAACAACAGUGAACAUGUGUUGCCGUUUCUGUAGGGCUGCUAACCUAAACACCUGCUGGUGUGCCUAUUAAAGUGUCCAGACAUGAAACCUGUAAAGAAACCAAACACCACAGAGGCUUAAGCUUAUGCUUUACUAUCAAAUCACACUUGGCAUAAAUAACACAUAAAAUGACUAAUAAACCUAGAGGAAUGAACACAUACAGUAUUGGCAAGGUGCAACGUUAGCGGAUGUGCCUUAGCCCAACAUGCUAACAUCCUUACUGAUGUUCAGUGUAUGAACUUUGUGAGCAGAGCGUCUCUGCUGUGACGCUGCCAAACGACACACAGGAUCAGAAAUCCUGAUCCUGCAGGAAUCAUUGUGCCCCCCAAAAUUUUACUACCCCGACCGUUUUAGCACCCAACAGGUGAAAUAAAAAACAACCUUCAAACAGCAAGUCGGCUGGACUAAAAAAAAAAAAAAAAAAAAGACUUUAACCCUUCCACGGUGUGAAGAGAAUGUGUUAUUUGGACCCCACAAGCUUUUUACCCAGCGAGUGUUCCGGUACGGUGCCCCAUGUGCGCUUUCAUGAGGUUUGCUUGUAUGUGUGUGUGUGUUGUUUCAGGAAAUGACCGUCUUCCCCGUUGUCCGACCGUGACAUCUGCCGCGCUCCUCCUGAGCGUCGCGCUAAGAGCGCAGGGGAGUUAAAAAAACUACUGAAAGGUAGCAAACAGGUGAGAGUGAGGUCGCUAGCCUACAGAGAGAUUUGUUAGAAAGCACGGUUUUUUACGCGACUGAAAAGUUCGGUUGGAAUUCAGACGUCUACAUGAUGAUGUGAUGCUAAUGAUUU